CAGCAGCCACGGGAAUACAGAGGGUGCGAGCGUUAAUCGGAUUUACUGGGCGUAAAGCGUGCGUAGGCGGCUUCUUAAGUCGGAUGUGAAAUCCCUGAGCUUAACUUAGGAAUUGCAUUCGAUACUGGGAAGCUAGAGUAUGGGAGAGGAUGGUAGAAUUCCAGGUGUAGCGGUGAAAUGCGUAGAGAUCUGGAGGAAUACCGAUGGCGAAGGCAGCCAUCUGGCCUAAUACUGACGCUGAGGUACGAAAGCAUGGGGAGCAAACAGGAUUAGAUACCCCAGUAGUCCCUGUCUCCUAUAC
rnacentral:rRNA from 1 species